GACGAACGCUGGCGGCGUGCUUAACACAUGCAAGUCGAACGGUGAAGGGACCGGUUUUUGCUGGUUCUGGAUGAGUGGCGAACGGGUGAGUAACACGUGAGUGACCUGCCCCCUUCUUCUGGAUAACCGCAUGAAAGUGUGGCUAAUACGGGAUAUUCUGCGCCUGCUGCAUGGUGGGUGUGGGAAAGAUAUUGUUUCGGUGGGGGAUGGGCUCGCGGCCUAUCAGCUUGUUGGUGGGGUGAUGGCCUACCAAGGCGGUGACGGGUAGCCGGCCUGAGAGGGCGGACGGUCACACUGGGACUGAGACACGGCCCAGACUCCUACGGGAGGCAGCAGUGGGGAAUAUUGCACAAUGGGCGCAAGCCUGAUGCAGCGACGCCGCGUGAGGGAUGGAGGCCUGCGGGUUGUAAACCUCUUUCGCCAGUGAAGCAGGCCUGUCCCUUUUGUGGGUGGGUUGACGGUAGCUGGAUAAGAAGCGCCGGCUAACUACGUG
rnacentral:rRNA from 1 species